CCAAGUCAAACUUCUGUUUAGUGCUAGAGUGUGGGCUUGACCGGCCGUUCUCGUCAUUCAUGACUGUUGUACAGUGAUAAGAUGUGCUUUUGAGAUUACCCAGAGGACAAGUCCAACCAUCGUGACCGUAGCCCUGGCCUGGGACUCUGUGUGAGCUACAGGUAGAAAGCAUCUUUGACGUUUAUCCAUCAGCCAGAUAUUAGUCAGUAGACUGCAUGAGUUCAACAACGUACAAGCAGACUACGCGUGUCGAGACCCGCACUACCUCUCAACCUCAAGUCCGAAGUCGAACGACCGUUGUCCGCAGCUCUCACUCCUCCUCAAUGGCUAACUGCGGCUGGCUGUGGAGCAUCGUCUGGGCCCUGAUCCUGCUGGUCUUGGGCUGGCCCAUCGGGAUCCUCUGCGGCAUCCUCUAUGCCAUCUUCUGCGCCUUUGUGCCCUGCUGCAGUGGCUGCAGUGACCUCGCCAACUUCCUGCACCGGGGCCUAGAGCUGCCCAAGACGUGCGCUACCAACAUGGUGACACAGCGAUCGGGCUGUUAGAGUAGAGGUUGUGCCCCCGGAGGAGCAUCAUGGCAGCAUGCAGAUUCAUCAGAGGCCUGACAUCAGGAGGUAGUUCUCAAAUGCUCCAAAUUUGCCAGCAUUUCUAGGAGAAGCUUUGAGUAAACUGAGCCUUUGCUUUGCAUAAUCAUUGGUCAAAGUUUCUGAAAGAAUAAUACCAUCUCCUUCAGUAUUCACGCAGUUUUUAUUUAACCCCAACUAUUCUUUUAUGCUCUUUGCAGGAAUUAGGUGGAAUUCUUAUUGGUAUCAAAGUUGCCAAGAAAAUUGCCAUAUGGCACAGACAGAGAUCCGUGUGUAAUGUGACCCAUUUUCUCCAGAAGUUCAAAGUAGGAAGAUUUUCAAAGAACUGUGCACAGAAAUGAUUCUGUAGGGUAUUUGUAAACUUUGGUUGUACAUCGGUGGCUGUAAACUGUGUGCAUGAUUUCCACACUGCCCAGCUGCCAAGUUUUACAAAUCUACAUGUAAGCCUUCCUGGUAUUGGAGCCUCUCACUGGAAUCGGCCUCUGGUAUUCCUAAUUACACAGUACGUACAUGUACACGUAGCUCUUUCUAAAACUAGCUUUGAUAUCUCUUCAUGUUUUGGAACAAAAUUGUAAGUAGAAAAGUGUUGUACCUUUAUAAGAAUUUUCCUUUUCCAGAGCAAAGCAUGAAGUAGUGAUUGUGUAUUUAGAAAGGUUUUUUUACAUCUUCAAAUAGAAUUUGUCAUUUCUUUAAACUCUACACUUGAGUUGUCCUUUUGCUUACUUUUGGGCCAUGUGUGACUUUUUUGUGUAUGGAGCAGGUUGUUUCGAAUUUGUUUACCUCUCUGAAGUGUUUUUCGAAGGCCAUUGAAGUACAUGUAACUUGUAACUGGCCUAGCUACCCCUGUACCCCUCAUGUACGGUAGCUUUCAAAUAUUGAUGGCCGUGUGAUAUUUUUUCUUUGACUUGCCACUUUUCUUGUGUAAAGGGGUUUAUCAAUUCACCUCACACACAGGUUGAAACACAAAUGCGCUUUCAGGCGCAGCUUUCAAUGGAAAACCAAACACAGGCACGGAAAACCACCAAGAAAGAGAUUAGACUGAUGCCAAAAUUUGUAGAAUUUUACAGAUGUUGUAAGAGGUUUCUUUAGAAGGCAGAUUUCAAUCCUGUUGUCUGUUUCUAUCUGAUAAUGUUCAAAUAACCACAAACGACAAUUUGGCUACAUUGAAUGGUCGUAUUUCAGUAGCUUGUAACUUUCACGGAAAGUCUCUAAUGUUCUUACAGAGUACAGUUUGCAGAAGAAUUGAAGGGAAACUUGAAAUAACCACAAUGUUUAUUCCAUGGCAAAGCAGUUUUUAAGUUUCUAGAAUUGUUCUCAAACAAGUCACAGGGCCAUUCAAAUUCGCAGAUAUUGCCAGAAAGCUUUUGAGAAAAAAUUACCUUGCCAAAAUAACACCUUGUCCUUUUCGUGCCAUCUUUAAUGUUCUUUCUGCUGCUGUAUUGUGAUGCAUGAUUUUUUCUUUAGGUUUAUAUUUCACUGUUGUGGUGAACAUGUUGUGAACAUUGUGGUUUUUGCAUGAGAAGUGUAGACAGCCUACAUGGAGGAGUAAAACUGUGUAUGAAAAAUACAUGUACACGUAUGUGCUUGCAAUUUUUGUAUGAGCUUGAAGGAAUUUGCUUUAGCCUGGUUAAGAUAAAUUUGUUUAGUGAGUGAUAUUUCAGUUUUCGUUGAAAUGCACUUUACUUCCUUUACGUUUACUUUAACACCAACCUGGCAAUUUAAUGACAGAGAUUUGUAUCAUGUAACUAAAGCUUGGGGAAAAUCAUUCUUUAUAUUUAACCCUAACCCUCCUCAUUCCUCCAACAGGUGAAGGAUUCAGGAGGGUUAGGGCUAAGGACCCAAAAGUAAAUUGCAAACCCUCAGUUUCGAGUGCUUCUAUAGUUUUUGCAUUUUAUUUUUCAUACAUUGUAGUACGUUUUUAAUGGUUGAUCAUGAUCAUGAAAGCCUGUCAGAGGUCUAAUUUAUUAGUUGAACAAACUUGUUUUAAAGUCAGUCAUUUGAAAUAGGCCUGAUGACUGAGAGCAGUUGAAAUACUGACUUGUACUUGCCUUGCUUUCUAUCACAUUCUUGUCUUCCAGUUUGAUUUUCUACAUACAUGUACCAAAAAGUGACUGGUAGCAUGAAUAUUUUGGUGGUAAAGUUUGAAGUGAAAAAUACCGAAAACUUAGUUUUUCUACAGAAAGUCAUUGAAAAUGCCUUUGACAUAUCCAGAAUCUGACAUUCCAAUGGACAGUUCAGUUCUUGGAAUGUAUUGUACUGUUAACAGUUACAGUUAUUGCACGCAGGCCAGACUAGAAAUUAAAGUUGCCCAAGAUGUGCAAUUGCUUCAGGCUUGCUUAAUUAAAAAUAACCAUUUUUCCCAUUGUAUUACAUCUCAAAUAUUGGACAGCUCAUUUGCCAAGGACAAGCCUUAAUUUCAGUAGGUAUUCAGAAUGUUUUUACUUUUAAUGAGAACAAGUACAUGUAUGUGUCAAAAUGCCAUUAAUUAGUUAUUUUGGUUAUUUUUACUUUUUUAAUAUUCAUUUCAAGAGAUCAUGUUGUAGAUUCAAAGCUGAAAUCCUGUCAUACCUCUGUUGGUUUAUGUAAGAAACUUACAUUGUAAAUGCACUUUGCAAAGGCUUUGGGGCUUGCAUUGUAAUGACACAAGGUUGCACGUUUCUCAGACUAAACACACUGUUGUGGAAUCACAUGAUUUUGAACAAGUUCUUAAACAGGUGCAUUAUACCCAGCAUUAUGUAUACCACUACUGGUGGGAAACACCAGAGAUCAUGCAAUCUAGAAUUGGUAAGUUCCUGGGGUAGGGCUUAUGAAUCUAAUCAAAUUAGGCAUGGACAAACAAGUCUAGGCAAAGUGGAUAGCUGCACUGUGCAGCUAACACACAAGAGCUGAUGUGUACUAGGGAACAAUGCAUGUGCCCACUGGUUCACAUGCAUAUGGCAUGGAGAGUGCAUGAUCAGUUUUCAUCAAAAUAUGCACAAACCUGUGGCAUCUUCAUCAGGUGCACAUCCACAGUGAUGAACCAAGAUUCUGCCUUAUUUCCCUUUGUGUUGCUGUUUUGGGGUACUUGUUCUAGCAACAGACAGUGUGUUCUUUCAUUGUUCACACACAGUACUGGUAAAUAAGGUCAAAUAUUGCCCGAAUUUCUAGCAGCCUUUAAUAGUAUUUAGCAAUUAUCAAGCAAACAGUAAGUUACUAUAAAUGACCGUGUCCAAAUCAUUUGGCCGUGGCUAGCAAUUACACACGAGUCUAUGGUAGUGGCUGUUGCCGGUUCCCUUUGAGUCGUGUGUAAUUUCAAGCCGCAGCCAAGGGAUUUGGACGCAGCCUUAGCCCAUGUGAUUUACUAACCAGUUGAUGCAAUUUGUGUCAAAUACCAGAGUCUCACCAUCCUGCAGUGGUCACAGUUUUGGUAAACGUGGCAAUGCAUUUGCCAGUGCUCAGUUACAAAACAAGGCCAGUAGUCAGGCGUGACGAGUAUUGCAUUGGAGCCAGCAGACAACUGUACAUUACAAAUGCCAGAAGGAUUCUGGUUAAGCAUUUUUAUAACCCAAAUGGUCAACAGCAUCGACCAUGCACAUUUUACCACUUGCAAGUACUUACAUGUAUUUUCUUUGGGUUUUUGUUGGGUUCUUUUAAUAAGGUGCAUUUUUAAUAAUAUCCUGAGCAGCUUUCUUGUUUUGACUUGUCUUUUUUAGUUUCAAUUUAAACAAGUUGUAGAGAUGUACUGUAGAUUUCUGUGUAUGUAGUGUACAGGCUAAUGUGCAUGCAAUAAAAAAGAAAGAAAAGCUACUUGA